GAUGAACGCUGGCGGCGUGCCUAAUACAUGCAAGUAGAGCGAAGCGGGGACGGGUGAGUCACACGUGGAUACCCUCCUAUAAGACUGGGAUAACUUCGGGAAACCGGAGCUAAACCGGAUACGUAAGGAGGGAUCUGCGUUGCAUUGGCUAGUUGGUAAGGUAACGGCUUACAAAGGCAACGAUGAAUAGCCGGCCGGAGAGGGUGAUCGGCAACACUGGAACUGAGAAACGGUCCAGACGCCUACGCGAGGCAGUGUUAGGGAAUCUUCCGCAAUGUGCGAAAGCCUGACGGAGCACCUCCGCGUGAGUGAUGAAGGUCUUCGGAUCGUAAAACUCUGUUAUUAGGGAAGCGGUACCUAAUCAGAAUGCCACGGCUAACUACGUGCCAGCAGCCGCGGUAAUAC
rnacentral:rRNA from 1 species